GUGCUCACUUUGGCAGCACGUAUACUAAAAUUGGAAAGAUACAGAGAUUAGCAUGGCCUUUGCACAAGGAUGACACAAAAAAUCCAUUAAGAACACUAAAGUGUG